rnacentral:lncRNA from 1 species
AGAUCUGGAUGUGCUUUAUUCUAGAAAUGAGUGACCAAUGUAAGCAAAGUUUUACCUGAACGGAUCUGGAAAGAAGAAACAAUAGCCUCCAUGUAUUGAGAACUCGUAAGUAUCAGAUGCUUCUCUGUAUUUCUGAGCCUCUUCGUGGGUAAAAGGGUAAAAUGGAGCAAGCUGCAUAAAAUGAGGCAACAGAGGUCUUGCACCACAAACAGCGCCGGCCGCCUGACCAUGGAUGGCGCAGGAGCGCUCUGCGGUGGGAUGAGCACGAGGCGAGGCCCCGAGGCAUCACCAGCGUCUGCGUGGGUACUGCUGCCGGUUCAGCUUCGGAGCUUCCCUCUUCCCGGGACGAAAUGCCUGACGAAGACGACAGUCUUGUCCCUGGAACCUGUGAUCUCUCUGCUCCCACGCUCUGGACCAGCAAGCUGCGGCCUGACUUGUGAAGCCUAGCUGGACUUGGAAGGAGACAGCUGGAGACACUGAUGAUGUCACAGUUUUUGGCAUAUAUUCAGAUGAACCUUAAUGUAUUUAUAACUAUGUCAUAUGAAGGAAGAUACAUUUAAUGCCAAACGAAAUACCGUGACUACAUUUAAUCAACAUAUGAGGAUAAUAAAGAAGUGGUUAGGCCCA